GUGGCCGUGUGGUGGAGCUCGGUAGUUAUGUGGGUUGUGUUGCUUUCACCUAAGUUUGAGGAUUCCCUUGCUUCAUGCUUAUCUCUGAAUUGAAUGGAUUCAGCUGAUAGGAGCAAGCCCUGAAAAGCUCCCUGCCAGACUGAAACAUUAGGAGGAAAGAACUCUCCAGUAGUGGUGAGGUGUUAGGUGUUUUAUAUGCAAGUACAAGGCAGAACUCCUCGCCCUGAAGAGUUUGCAACUACGUAAUUAAAUGAUAUCUUGGGAACAAUAACAUGGAUGGAGCCAAAGCAAAGCUGAUACAAUGUUCACUGAAUUUGAAUGUCUCUUGUGUCAUCAGUUGUUUYUAUGGCAGAAUUAGUAAGUUUUAUGUGUUUUA